rnacentral:rRNA from 1 species
ACGAACGCUGGCGGCGUGCUUCACACCUGCAAGUCGAACGGAAAGGCCCUGCUUUUGUGGGGUGCUCGAGUGGCGAACGGGUGAGUAACACGUGAGUAACCUGCCCUUGACUUUGGGAUAACUUCAGGAAACUGGGGCUAAUACCGGAUAGGAGCUCCUGCUGCAUGGUGGGGGUUGGAAAGUUUCGGCGGUUGGGGAUGGACUCGCGGCUUAUCAGCUUGUUGGUGGGGUAGUGGCUUACCAAGGCUUUGACGGGUAGCCGGCCUGAGAGGGUGACCGGCCACAUUGGGACUGAGAUACGGCCCAGACUCCUACGGGAGGCAGCAGUGGGGAAUAUUGCACAAUGGGCGGAAGCCUGAUGCAGCAACGCCGCGUGCGGGAUGACGGCCUUCGGGUUGUAAACCGCUUUCGCCUGUGACGAAGCGUGAGUGGCGGUAAUGGGUAAAGAAGCACCGGCUAACUACGUG